rnacentral:tRNA from 1 species
ACCAUGGCUCAGUAGUACAGCAUCUACUUUGUAAGCAGAAGUUCCCUGGUUCAGUCCCUGGUAUCUCCU